UACAGAGGGUGCGAGCGUUAAUCGGAGUGACUGGGCGUAAAGGGCACGUAGGCGGUUAGAUUAGUCUGAUGUGAAAGACCUGGGCUUAACCUGGGAUGUGCAUUGGAAACGGUCUAGCUAGAGUUUGGGAGAGGGAAGUGGAAUUUCCGGUGUAGCGGUGAAAUGCGUAGAGAUCGGAAAGAACACUCGUGGCGAAGGCGGCUUUCUGGCCCAAAACUGACGCUGAGGUGCGAAAGCGUGGGGAGCAAACAGG
rnacentral:rRNA from 1 species